rnacentral:rRNA from 1 species
AUUCCGCGAAUCAUCGAGUCUUUGAACGCAAGUUGCGCCCGAGGCUUGUCCAAGGGCAUUUCCGCUAGAGCGUCACCGCGCACCCCCACCGACCCACUCCCGUUCGCGGCGAGUCGGGUCGAGUGAAAGUGGCCGUCCCGAGCGGUGGGGGCCCGUCGGGCCUUCACUUGGAAGGGUGGGCUGAAAUGGAUGGAAUUGGGCCGCCGUGGUGUGAUGCAGUCCGCGAUCGGGUGAUCCGAGCUCCUCCGGGAGUCCGGACUUUUUCUAAGUGCGUGGCUGCGUCCCCCCAGUCGGUCCGUGGUUACCCUAGGUCGAUGCGCGCCCGCGAGGCGCGCGUCACGCAUCGGACCUCUAAUCGGAAAAGACUACCCGCUGAG